UUGGUGGAAAUCUUGGACAUCAACACCUGAUAUAUAUACGACUCCCGUUGGACAAAAAGCGAGCAAACAAAGAAGGGAAUGAUGCAGGACUUUACGGUCAGCUACCAUAUCCUGAUGCCCUCCACAGCGUACACGUUCCGAUACGGCAUCUCGUUUCCAGUGUACUCCAAGGACUCCAUUCUGACGCCCUCGAAACUGCACCUGGAAUAUGGUUACCUGCAGCACAAGCCCUUCUACCGACAGACCUGGUUCAUGGUCUCCCUGGCGGUAUAAGUAUAAAUAAUGAUCCCCCAAUAUAUUUGCCAUUACGACACUCGGAAAGCGAGAACGGGAGCGUGCGCAGCGACCCACAUUCAUUUGUGAAUCACUACGCCAACGUGAAUGACUCGCUGCGGCAGUCGUGGAAGAAAACCAAGCCGGUGAGGAAUUAUUCCAGCUACAGCUACAGCAAUGGUGGCCAAAUUAUCGUCAAUAAUAUGGCCAGAUCGAGGGCACCGCUGCCCGGCUUCUCAUCGUUCGUCUGACAAUCAACUGAGUUCUAAGAUCUAAGCACCAGUAGCAGCGGUACCGUCAUCCGGGAGACCUUUGUGUAGAAGGCAGGAAGGAUUAAAUGGAACAGGGACGAACCGGAUUGGGAGAAGGAGCUGGAGGCGGCUGGCGAGGAUGGGGAUGAUGAAGAUGAGGAUUAGGAGCAGGAGCAGGAGCAGGAGCAGGAGGGAGCACCGCUUUGCUCUCACAUAUC